rnacentral:rRNA from 1 species
UACAGAGGUCCCAAGCGUUGUUCGGAUUCACUGGGCGUAAAGGGCUCGUAGGCGGCCAACUAAGUCGGACGUGAAAUCCCUCAGCUUAACUGGGGAACUGCGUCCGAUACUGGAUGGCUUAGAUUUGGGAGAGGGAUGCGGAAUUCCAGGUGUAGCGGUGAAAUGCGUAGAUAUCUGGAGGAACACCGGUGGCGAAGGCGGCAUCCUGGACCAACAUUGACGCUGAGGAGCGAAAGCUAGGGGAGCAAACGGG